UACGGAGGGUGCGAGCGUUAAUCGGAAUUACUGGGCGUAAAGGGUGCGUAGGUGGUUAAUUAAGUUAUCUGUGAAAUCCCCGGGCUCAACCUGGGCAGGUCAGAUAAAACUGUUUAACUCGAGUAUGGGAGAGGGUAGUGGAAUUUCCGGUGUAGCGGUGAAAUGCGUAGAGAUCGGAAGGAACACCAGUGGCGAAGGCGGCUACCUGGCCCAAUACUGACACUGAGGCACGAAAGCGUGGGGAGCAAACAGG
rnacentral:rRNA from 1 species